rnacentral:rRNA from 1 species
CGUAGGAGGCGAGCGUUAUCCGGAUUCACUGGGCGUAAAGCGCGUGCAGGCGGUUUGGUAAGUUGAUCGUGAAAGCUCCCGGCUCAACUGGGAGAGGUCGGUCAAUACUACCGAACUAGAGAGCAGAAGAGGAAGAUGGAAUUCCCGGUGUAGUGGUGAAAUGCGUAGAUAUCGGGAGGAACACCAGUGGCGAAGGCGAUCUUCUGGUCUGUUUCUGACGCUCAGACGCGACAGCUAGGGAAGUAAACGGGAUUAGAGACCCCGGUAAUCCUAGCCGUAAACGAUGUGAACUUGGCGUCGGUGGCUUAAACACCAUCGGUGCCGAAGCAAACGCGAUAAGUUCACCGCCUGGGGACUACGGCCGCAAGGUUA